GCCCUACACUAACCUUCAAGUUGAAGGGGAGGAGAUGAGCUUUUCAGAUGAAUCAAGCAUGUAUUUAUCUACCACAGGCUCUCUUUUCUUGUUGUUUAUUCAUCCACAGAGAACAAGAAGUCUUGCUUCCAAACCAGAAUGUAUGAGACGUCCACUGCCCUCUGUUCCCAGCAGAGUGACCAAAACCAAUUUGUUGGCUUUUAUUUGCCUGGCCCUUGUGCCUGAAAAGGAAGAAAGGAGGAGACUGUGUUUAUGCAUCUCUUACAGGAUGUAAUCUCCAAGGACGAGUGUAUAGAGUCUUAGUGAGACCAUCAUCGCUGAAGAUUCUAUGAAACAGGUGGGAGAAAUAAGGGAUCAG